UCGACCAUCAGCCGUGAUGAAAAGAGUGGGACGGAUGAUUUUAGCAGGACCACAGGUAUAGCCACCUCCUGGAGCGAGCAAAGUGAAAUUCUUGGGAAGUUGGACGGUUCUGUUUGUAGUCCCCGCAGAGCCAACAGCUAUCUGAAAUGCAGAGAGAGCAGCAGAAGGGUCCUUUCCCAUUGAUGCCAAAACACCACCCUUGCAGCAGUUAGCAAUUUGCUGGUUAUAAGGGGUAUUUGGCAGCAGAUCAACAAUUUCAGGUUUUUUCUCACAGCUAUGAGGAAUGUUGCCUUUAAACAUCGAACAAUCUCCUUGAUUAGUAGCUUGGGCUCCCAUCAUGGCCCAAAUCACCUCAUACUUUGCCCAUGUCCAUCCUAAAGUCCAUCCAGGUCUCAUUAUUGGACGAUACAUUUGGAAAUU
rnacentral:lncRNA from 1 species